AGGAAUAUUGGUCAAUGGACGCAAGUCUGAACCAGCCAUGCCGCGUGAAGGAUGAAGGUCCUCUGGAUUGUAAACUUCUUUUAUCUGGGACGAAAACGGGAUUUUUAUAUCAAUUGACGGUACCAGAGGAAUAAGCACCGGCUAACUCCGUGCCAGCAGCCGCGGUAAUACGGAGGGUGCGAGCGUUAUACGGAUUUACUGGGUUUAAAGGGUGCGUAGGUGGGCUUAUAAGUCAGUGGUGAAAUCUCCGAGCUUAACUUGGAAACUGCCGUUGAUACUAUAUGUCUUGAAUUAUCUGGAGGUAAGCGGAAUAUGUCAUGUAGCGGUGAAAUGCUUAGAUAUGACAUAGAACACCAAUUGCGAAGGCAGCUUACUACAUAUAAAUUGACGCUGAGGCACGAAAGCGUGGGGA
rnacentral:rRNA from 1 species